GACGAACGCUGGCGGCGUGCCUAACACAUGCAAGUCGAGCGAAUGAAGUUCCUUCGGGAAUGGAUUUAGCGGCGGACGGGUGAGUAACACGUGGGCAACCUGCCUCAUAGAGGGGAAUAGCCCUCCGAAAGGGAGAUUAAUACCGCAUAAGAUUGUAGUAUCGCAUGAUACAGCAAUUAAAGGAGCAAUCCGCUAUGAGAUGGGCCCGCGGCGCAUUAGCUAGUUGGUGAGGUAACGGCUCACCAAGGCGACGAUGCGUAGCCGACCUGAGAGGGUGAUCGGCCACAUUGGGACUGAGACACGGCCCAGACUCCUACGGGAGGCAGCAGUGGGGAAUAUUGCACAAUGGGGGAAACCCUGAUGCAGCAACGCCGCGUGAGUGAUGACGGCCUUCGGGUUGUAAAGCUCUGUCUUCAGGGACGAUAAUGACGGUACCUUAGGAGGAAGCCACGGCUAACUACGUG
rnacentral:rRNA from 1 species